GGGAAGAGGGCAGUAAAACUGAGACCUGUGAGCAGAGGAGUACACGAGGUUUCAAAGUAAAGCCCGACUGCAUGUGUGUACCAGGUAAGAAAUACAGUAAAAACUACCCAAAAGAAAACAACCCUACACUGAAAGCCGCAGCACUCUGCUGCAUCGCUGCGCCCCAGCUGGAGGACAGAGUCCUGCAAAGCCGUCCUCCCCUGCGCCUGUCUGAACAGACCUCGAGGCUUUUCCUCACCUCGGUGCCAAGCCGCAUUAGUCAGUCAGCGGUGAGCGAUCCAUCACAUUGCUGUGUGUGUGUGUGUGUGUGUACUUGGCCCUUUCUCAUUGGACUUUGUGCCGUGGAAGUUGCCCGUGCAAAGCAGCGCGCGUCACGCUUAUGUCUUGAGCCACGUCGAUACAACACUGGGGCCUCUCCAGAGCACCGGCCGCCUGGCAGUCAUUGUGAAAUGUCAAAGGUGUUUUGGACAACUUGUGUGAAAGUUUUUUUUUUUUUAACCGACUUCACAGACCCGGAGCCUCGAGGACGACACCUUCAGCUUAAUGACCCGUCACGCAUGCUGAAGCAAGUAUUUGCUGACAUUUUCAGACGUUAAGAAAAUGGCGAACACAGGGAAUACAUUACCAGGUUGGCGUGAACUGACG
ensembl:lncRNA